rnacentral:rRNA from 1 species
UUACCCGCAGCAGGACAAAAAGACCCCGUGGAGCUUUACUGCAGCUUGGCAUUGAGUUAGGGCUUAGCCUGUAUAGGAUAGCUGGGAGGCUGAGAAGCCGGGGCGCCAGCCUCGGUGGAGCCGCCGGUGGAAUACCAGCCUGGCUAAGUCUUGGCCCUAACCCCUGGCCGUGAUCCGGCAGGGGGACAGUGCCUGGUGGGCAGUUUGACUGGGGCGGUCGCCUCCUAAAAGGUAACGGAGGCGCGCAAAGGUACCCUCAGGCUGAAUGGAAACCAGCCGUAGAGUGCAAAGGCAUAAGGGUGCUUGACUGCGAGACCUACAAGUCGAGCAGAGACGAAAGUCGGCCUUAGUGAUCCUACGACUCCGUGUGGAAGGGUCGUGGCUUAACGGAUAAAAGCUACCCCGGGGAUAACAGGCUAGUCUUGCCCAAGAGUCCACAUCGACGGCAAGGCUCGGCACCUCGAUGUCGGCUCGUCGCAUCCUGGGGCUGGAGCAGGUCCCAAGGGUUGGGCUGUUCGCCCAUUAAAGCGGUACGCGAGCUGGGUUCAGACCGUCGUGAGACAGGUCGGUCUCUAUCCGCUGUGGGCGUAGGGAGAUUGAGAGGAGCUGCCCCUAGUACGAGAGGACCGGGGUGGACCGACCUCUGGUGUACCAGUUGUCGCGCCAGCGGCAUCGCUGGGUAGCUAAGUCGGGCAAGGAUAACCGCUGAAAGCAUCUAAGUGGGAAGCCUGCCUCAAGAUGAGUCUCCCCCACCCUUCGUGGUGAUAAGUGCGCUGGAAGACCACCAGCUUGAUAGGCGGCAGGUGUAAGCGCAGCAAUGCGUUCAGCCGAGCCGUACUAAUGCACGAAAGGCUUAAUCAC